CUAGUAACUGCGAGUGAAGCGGGAAAAGCUCAAAUUUAAAAUCUGACGGCUUUGCUGUCCGAGUUGUAAUCUGGAGAAGCGUUUUCCGCGUUGGACUGUGUACAAGUCUCUUGGAACAGAGCGUCAUAGAGGGUGAGAAUCCCGUCCAUGCCACAGAUCCCCAAUGCUUUGUGAUACGCUCUCGAAGAGUCGAGUUGUUUGGGAAUGCAGCUCAAAAUGGGUGGUAAGCUCCAUCUAAAGCUAAAUAUUGGCGAGAGACCGAUAGCGAACAAGUACCGUGAGGGAAAGAUGAAAAGCACUUUGGAAAGAGAGUUAAACAGUACGUGAAAUUGUUGAAAGGGAAACGCUGGACGUCAGUCGCGUCUUACUGGACUCAGCCUUGUUUCGGCUUGGUGUAUUUCCUGUGAGACGGGUCAACAUCGAUUUUGACCGGUGGACAAGGGGGUAGGGAAUGUGGCACGUCUCGGCGUGUGUUAUAACCUUGCCUCAUAUGCAUCGGUUGGGAUCGAGGCCCGCAGCGCGCCUUUUGGCCGGGGUUCGCCCACGUAACGCGCUUAGGAUGUUGGCAUAAUGGCGUUCAGCGACC
rnacentral:rRNA from 1 species